rnacentral:rRNA from 1 species
CCUACGGGAGGCAGCAGUAGGGAAUAUUGGACAAUGGGUGCGAGCCUGAUCCAGCCAUGCCGCGUGCAGGAAGAAGGCCUUCUGGGUUGUAAACUGCUUUUGCCGGGGGAUAAAAGACCCAUGCGUGGGGAAUUGAAGGUACCCGGUGAAUAAGCCACGGCUAACUACGUGCCAGCAGCCGCGGUAAUACGUAGGUGACGAGCGUUGUCCGGAUUUAUUGGGUUUAAAGGGUGCGUAGGCGGCCCCGUAAGUCAGUGGUGAAAUACGGCAGCUCAACUGUCGAGGUGCCAUUGAUACUGCGGGGCUUGAGUACAGUCGAGGUAGGCGGAAUUGACGGUGUAGCGGUGAAAUGCUUAGAUAUCGUCAAGAACACCGAUAGCGAAGGCAGCUUGCUAGGCUGUAACUGACGCUGAGGCACGAAAGUGCGGGGAUCAAACAGGAUUAGAUACCCUGGUAGUCCGCACAGUAAACGAUGGUCACUCGGUGUUGGCGGUACACGGCCAGCGCCUUAGCGAAAGCGUUAAGUGACCACCUGGGGAGUACGCCCGCAAGGGUGAAACUCAAAUGAAUUGACGG